CGGCCGAUGUCAGAUUAGCUAGUUGGUGAGGUAACGGCUUACCAAGGCGACGAUCUGUAGCGGGUCUGAGAGGAUGAUCCGCCACACUGGAACUGAGACACGGUCCAGACUCCUACGGGAGGCAGCAGUGGGGAAUUUUGGACAAUGGGGGCAACCCUGAUCCAGCCAUGCCGCGUGAGUGAAGAAGGCCUUCGGGUUGUAAAGCUCUUUCGGCCGGGAAGAAAUCGCAUGGGCCAAUACCCUGUGUGGAUGACGGUACCGGAAUAAGAAGCACCGGCUAACUACGUGCCAGCAGCCGCGGUAAUACGUAGGGUGCGAGCGUUAAUCGGAAUUACUGGGCGUAAAGCGUGCGCAGGCGGUUUUGUAAGACAGGCGUGAAAUCCCCGGGCUCAACCUGGGAACUGCGUUUGUGACUGCAAGGCUAGAGUACGGCAGAGGGGGGUGGAAUUCCACGUGUAGCAGUAAAAUGCGUAGAGAUGUGGAGGAACACCAAUGGCGAAGGCAGCCCCCUGGGUCGAUACUGACGCUCAUGCACGAAAGCGUGGGUAGCAAACAGGAUUAGAUACCCUGGUAGUCCACGCCCUAAACUAUGUCAACUAGGUGUUGGGUGGGUAAAACCAUUUAGUACCGUAGCUAACGCGUGAAGUUGACCGCCUGGGGAGUACGGCCGCAAGGUUAAAGCUCAAAGGAAUUGACGGGGACCCGCACAAGCGGUGGAUGAUGUGGAUUAAUUCGAUGCAACGCGAAAAACCUUACCUACCCUUGACAUGCCAGGAACUUGCCAGAGAUGGCUUGGUGCCCGAAAGGGAGCCUGGACACAGGUGCUGCAUGGCUGUCGUCAGCUCGUGUCGUGAGAUGUUGGGUUAAGUCCCGCAACGAGCGCAACCCUUGUCGUUAAUUGCCAUCAUUUAGUUGGGCACUUUAGCGAGACUGCCGGUGACAAACCGGAGGAAGGUGGGGAUGACGUCAAGUCCUCGUGGCCCUUAUGGGUAGGGCUUCACACGUCAUACAAUGGUCGGUACAGAGGGUCGCCAAGCCGCGAGGUGGAGCCAAUCCCAGAAAGCCGAUCGUAGUCCGGAUUGCAGGCUGCAACUCGCCUGCAUGAAGUCGGAAUCGCUAGUAAUCGUGGAUCAGCAUGUCACGGUGAAUACGUUCCCGGGUCUUGUACACACCGCCCGUCACACCAUGGGAGCGGGUUCCGCCAGAAGUAGGUAGCCUAACCGCAAGGAGGGCGCUUACCACGGCGGGGUUCGUGACUGGGGUGAAGUCGUAACAAGGUAGCCGUAGGGGAACCUGCGGCUG
rnacentral:rRNA from 1 species